rnacentral:lncRNA from 1 species
UGCACCAGGGCAAGCAUGGAGGAGAAGGGCUCUAUAUGCAUAGAUUGUUUAUUAGGAGAAAUGGCCGUUUAUUACAAUUCCUUUGGCUGCCUGAUCUUGGUUCAGGCGCCUCCUUAGGAUUUCGCUGUUGAAGUUCCUGUCCAAGGCGUGUGGGACAGAGAACAACCACUUGUAUCUGCACAUGAAGAAAGAGGGUGUGAGAUGGGGAGGAAGGGCAGUGGGUUCUGAGCAAGGAAGAGCAGCUUCUCUACCCCGAUGGAGAUAGCAUGGAUGUUGGUUUUGUAUUAUGCUUUUAUUAAGCUCAUAAAAUAGGCAGUUAGAAAUUAGGGCCUGGAGGUGACCGAGUACUGUUCCUCCCUCUAUUGUGGCCUCGCACUGUCUCCCUGGUACCCUGUCUAGAAACAGUCCCACAGAAUCCACCCCAAACCGGAUCCCUGGUCCCUUUCUCCUUGCAACCCGCCUUGUUCCAAAUGGACACACUUGCACGUCCGCAUCCCAGAGGUAUGAACCUUCUCGAGAUGGGUACGAGAAAAGCUUUCAAUCUGGGUGUGGUUUCUGGCCUUUUAAACAAGGUUGUGACUUUAAUCAGCUACUAUGCAGGGCUUUACAGUUUGUUGAUACGUAUGAGUCAUAGUUGAGAUGCUGUAGGCUCAUUCCCAGUACACCUUCAAAGGGGGAGAAAAUGGCGGGGAGUUAGGGCUGCUGGGUGAAGGGAACUUGAAGAUGUUGGUUCAGAGUUAGAAGCAUUUAUUCUGCCUCUCCCAAAGGCUCUGUCACUUGGUUGGAGAAAUCUAACUGUAAUAGAGAGAGCCUAGCAUUAAAGGGCAAAGGAUGAUCAUAUAGGAUGCUGGGUUUCCUGCAUCUUCUAGGACUUCUAGGACUUUGAAAACAAGUAGUCCUAGGUCCUAGGUCCCCAAAGUAGUCCUCUUACAGAAGCAGGGCUUUUUUGGGGGUGGCUGACCUCUCUGUAUUUCAGUGGCUUUUCCUCCUGGGGUGGAAUUCUAGUCUUGCUGAAUGCACUACUACCAAUGAGAACACUCCCAGCUUGGGUUUUAGUCUUAAAAUUUUCUUUCUUUUUAUGUGUCUGGGCGUUUGGCCUUCAUGUAUGACAGUUUUACCCUGCAUUACCCAUGGAGGCCACAAGGAGGUGUCAGGUCCCCUGGCUGGAGGUAUAGACGGUUGUGAGCUGCCAUGUGGGCGCUGGGAAUCCAACCUGGGGCUUCAAGAAGAGCAGCCAGUGCGCUUAGCCGCUGAGCCAUCUCUCACCCCCUUACUCUGUAAUGUUCAGUAACAUAUUUGUGUAAGAGCGGCCAGGACACACCCGUGAUCCCCAGGAUGGCGAGGCAGGGGCAGAGGGGAUCACUGUAAGUUUGAGCCAUCCUCAUCCACACCGAGUCACAGGCCAGCCAGGAUGCACAGUGAGGACACCUCAAAGCGGGGAUGCUUUGGACUUCUGUAAGGGUAGAGGGAUUCUUAUUGAAAAUGAGCUCUGGGUAGAAGUGGAAGGAUCUUCGGGAACCCCAUACCUGUCUGAGGUGAUGAGACAUUGCUUUUCGUUGGCCACUUUGAGUGAGUAGCUUCCUUGCCAUUGUGACUAAGAGGAAUCUACCUGUCUAGUCCUUUGCUGUCCUUUCUCAAGAGGACCAGAUUCCACACUGUCGGCAGUGAGAGUCUUUUCCAAUCAGCCACUGGCUGUUCCUUGUAUACACACAUUCAUCUACUGCAGGUCACUUCCUUCCUUUGUUAGAUACCUGAAGUAAAAUAAGGAACAAUUGGAAGAGCAGCUUUAGCUUUAGGGUUUUUCAGGAAAACUUUAAUAAGUAACUCUUGCCUUAGGAGUCUGCCCUCUGAGACGAAGUGCUCUUCCACUGUUGCUGACCACCGCCCUGCCCUGCACGUUUUUUAUUUAUUGGGUUUUUAUGUGGCAGCAUUGGAUCUCUCUCAGUCAGGGUGGGAAAGGCAGGCAGAGGGAUUAUUGGGGUGGGGGGAGCCUCAAAGAGGGAGGUACUGCUUUUAACAGGAAGAGGAAUGCCACCUAUCUGCCCUCUGGCGCUUUCUCUUAGAUGCAGGAAAGCUGUGGGACAGGCUGGGGGUUGUGCACGCAGGUGGAGGGGUGCAGAGGGGAGGGCUGGCAGCUAGACUGGAUUUUGGAGUAUAGGC